rnacentral:lncRNA from 10 species
CUCUCAUUCCCUCUUGUCUGCUGCCAUGUGUCUUGUGUCUUUCACCAUGAUUGUGAGGCCUCCCCUGCCGCGUGGAACUACCUAGCAGGAUCAUGGUAGAAUCUAAGAAAAAACAACCGUGAAUUCAAUGGCUUAAGCUAGCUCUUCUCUAUUAUCUCAAAAAAGGUCCUUGCAUUUUCAAGAUCAUCCAUCUGUAAUCUUCACACCUGAACUGAAACGAGCCAGGUAUAAAUAUUCUUAUUGAUAUUUUCUUUCUCUCUCAACAGUCUAGAUACUCUUCCACUGUCCUCUGGCACUGAAAGGUUGUGUGGAAAAGUUCUGAAACCAGUCUGAUGUUUAGUUCAUUGUUUAGUUCAUUUUUUCCCUUGAAUCCUGAAUAUUUAAUUAUCCCUAAGAAUCAGUAACUUUGCCUUAUGUAGAUUGAUAUUUAUGGAACAUGGUGCACCUUUCCAUUUUCAGAUGUUAAAACUUACUAAUUUCUUUAUAGUGGAAAAGUUGACGGGGGGUUGUUUUCUCAUUAUAUCUUGGAAUAUUUUUCGGUGUUUUUUUAAAAUCCAGAAAAGGUUAAUUGUUUUUUAUAUUGACCAUGUUUUCUGUAAAUUCUUUCAUGCUUUAUCUUUUUUCUUUGCAUUAUCCGAGUUAUUUCCAGCCUGUUUGUCAUUGGUUUAAUUUUCAACAAUGCCUACCUCACUAUUUUUUAUUAGUUCCAAUAUUAUGUCUUUUUAUACUCAAUUCAUUUCCCUAGUUCUCCCAUACUAUUCUCUGGUCUGUUAUCUUUUCAUCUUUGAGUUUUGGUUUUAUAUAGUCUAUACACUUUAUAAUUUCUUUAAAAAUGCAAAGCAUUAGUUGUGAAUGUUUUUCUUUUGUUUUCUAGGGCGUGUUCUCAUUUAGAGUACUACGCAUGAGAAGGUCAUUUAUUUCAUUUUUUAAAUAAUCAUAGGAACUUCUCAUAGUUGUUAUCCUGUCUCUUCUCAUUUCACUCAUAUUAGACAAGGCAGCUCUUCUCUUUGCCCAUGUGUGAGCUCUCCUUGAAUCUCUUCUUAUCUGCGAUCUAAGAGUGUUGUCUUACCUUCAGAUGGUCAACGUGAAGAAUGGGUAUUGAUAGGUCACACUCACUCUGCUCUUUGUUUAUCUGAGAUUGAGAAGCUAGAGAGAGGAAGCUAUGGGCAGUUAGGAAGAAGUUGGUCUCUUCUCUAUUUUCCUAUUGAUUUUAUAAAAUCCUGUUCUGUAUUUUGUUUUUUCUAGUGAAAUGUUGACUUCUCUCCUUAAUUCAGAGUGAGCUGCUGAAUCUUCCCUCUACAAAAUAUCACUCAUUCUUACUAGGCUUUAUUCCUCUUUCCACUGAAUAUUGAGCUUCUAAGUUCAAAUGGGAGUCUUUCAGGCUAGCCAUUAACUUUUCCUGUUCUGUAAAUGCCAAGAUAAAAUAUUAUGAGAGAUUAAAUUAGUAAAUCUAGUUAGAUUUUUUCUUAUAAUGAAAAUACAAGCUGGAAAAUUGGAGAAUGCUGUACAACCCUUCCAAACUCCAACAUGUUCAUAAGCUCAACUUUCUUAAAUUGAUAUUAAUAUUGUCAUUUCUUACUAACAAGGACUGCAGAUAAGCUUUAGGGACUCUUUUUUCCUUUCUUUCUUUUUAUUUCAACCUGUUGACAUAUAGGCAACAUGUCCACUAUACCAUGAUUUUAAGUGCUCCUUUCAAAUUCAUAUCUAGCCCUUCUUCCUAACCCAUUUUGGGGGUAAAAAGUUGCUGAGUUCAAAGUCCUAACAUCCUAAAGGACUUCUUUCUAAAUUAAGUGCCAUAAAGUUCUUAUCAAAGAAUAUAUGGAUUUACGCUAUCAAAGGCUUCCAUAGAAACCUCUAAUUUGACUCAAAUGAAAAGUUUAGUCCUUUUAAAAUGAAAACAUUAAAGCAAUAAGGUGAAAGCAUCACUUCCAUUGAUUUAGUAACCAGUGACUUCUAAGUGACUUUUAAAUUUGAAUCUCUUUUAAAAACCAGAAACAGGCCGGGCACGGUGGUUCACACCUGUAAUCCCAGCACUGUGGGAGGCCAAGGCGGGUGGAUCACGAGGUUAGGAGAUCGAGACCAUCCUGGCUAACACAGCGAAACCCUGUCUCUACUAAAAAUAAAAAAAACUAACCGGGAGUGGUGGUGGGUGCCCGUAGUCCCAGCUACUCAGGAGGCUGAGGCAGGAGAAUGGUGUGAACCCGGGAGGCGGAUCUUACAGUGAGUCGAGAUCGCGCCACUGCACUCCGGCCUGGGCAACAGAGCGAGACUCUGUCUCAAAAAAAUAAAUAAAUAAAAAUAAAAACCAGAAACAUACUGGCAAAUUCCGGUAGUCUACCUUUAUAUGGACACUGUAUUCUCACUUCAAAUCCAGUAGGGCCAAAAGAAAACUCAUAUUCUCCCUGUUGAACUGGUGUCUUUUUCUGAUUCGUCAUCUAUAACAUUUCUGCCAUUAUAUAUACACAAUGAAGCUUAACAAUCUUCUUUAUUUCUCCCUUUAUCAAAGAGUUCAUUGGUUAAUCAGUCACUCAGUUCUAAAGAUUUUUCUCCACCUUGGGAAUUAAAUCAUAUUUCUUCCUGUCCGUUCACACACACAUACCACUGAGAAAUGCGAGCCCAGGUUACUUUUCUCCCAAUCUCCCAAGCUAUCUUAAUAACAGCCAAUCUCCUCAUGAUUAGGCUCUCACUUUGCCAUCCCAAUUAAAGUUUUGACCAUGUCACCACCAACUUAAAAAACGUUCCAUGGUUCUCCAAUACCUUCUCAACCUCCUUUUGUUGUUUCAAUAUCCCCCACGAUCUGGUCCAAUCUCCCUGUCAACAUCAUCUCACAAAAGUAUACACAGUCAAGCCACAAUGCUUUAUUCACUAUUCUCCAACCACAUUUCAUGUCUUUCAUGAUGACACUUCUUCUGUCGAGGCUCCUGUGUUUAUUGCCACACUAUUCACAGUAGGAAAGAUAUGAAUCAACACGUGUGUUCAUCAGGCCCGGCGCAGUGGCUCACGCCUGUAAUCCCAGCACUUUGGGAGGACAAGACUGGCGGCUCACGAGGUCAGGAGAUCGAGACCAUCCUGGCUAACACGGUGAAACCCCGUCUCUACUAAAAAUAAAAAAAAAAUUAGCCAGGCUUGGUGGUGGGCGCCUGUAGUCCCAGCUACUCGGGAGUCUGAGACCGGAGAAUGGCGUGAACCUGGAGGUGGAGCUUGCAGUGAGCCGAGAUCACGCCACUACAAUCCAGCCUGGGCGACAGAGCAAGACUCCGUCUCAAAAAAAAAAAAAAAGUGUUCAUCAAUGGAUAAUGAGAUAAACAAAAUGUGGUGUGUGUGCGCGCACACACACACACACACACACACACACAGCCAUGUAAAAAGAAUGAAAUCCUGUCUUUUGCCGCAAUAUGGAUGGAACUGCAGGCCAUUACCUUAAGUGGAAUAACUCAGAAACACGAAGACAAAUACCGCAUGUUCUCACUUAGAAGUGGGAGCUGAACAGUGUAUACACAUGGACAUACAGUGUGGAAUAAUAGACACUGGAGAUUCGAAAGGGUGGCAGGGUGGGAAGGAGGUGAAGAAUAAGAAAUUAUUUAAUGGCUACAAUACACACUGUUGGAGUGACAGUUACACUAAAAGCCCAGGCUGCACCACUAAAUUAAAUAUCCAUGUAACAAAAUUGCACUUUCAACCCUUAAAUGUGUACAAAUAAAAAAAAGAACAUUUCUAUUCUUUCCUCUCCUGCUUCAUUUCUACAUGUUAAAUCCUAUUUAGCAUUCAAGUCUUGGAUCAAAUAUGCUGCUACAAAGCCUUCUUUGGGAUUCCG